UUGUCAAAGCCAUGGAGGAUCAGUCAAAACAAAGGAACAGCUGCGUUCAAAUUAAGGGUCAGAGAAAAUUAAGUCUUCGUUAGUUUGGUUCUGUCCUUUCUGAAAGAAAGAAACCCAGGAAACAUUAACUAGUUGGGAUUUCAACAGCACAUCCGUCCAGUCCGUGAGGUUCCGCCAUUUGGUAUUCUUCUGGGGAAUUCUUACUGAGACCAAAGCGGGCUCCCUGCUGGCCGGUGAGUCAGCCUCUCCACCGGAAGCAGUCGUCUCGCAAAGCAGCGAUAUUGCAGCUAACGGGAGGCGUGGGGAAUCACGUCCAGAGUCAUGGGUCCCUGAACAAAGGGAAGCAGGGACAUUUCCUUCACAUUAGGAAGGAAUAUUCCAACGGGAGAGGCGGGAACCCUCCCGCGCAGGCUCAGGGGAAACAAGCUUCCACCCUGCAGGCGGCGGAGCCCAGGCCCGAACCUCCUCCCGGAGGAGCUCGGCAUCCACAAGGCAAAGGCACAGGGGAGCCCUCUGCGGAGGCCUGGCCUGGCCCGGCGGGGCUGGCGGCACCUCCCUGACAUAACAGAAGGAAAAGAACAAUUUGGAACCACAGUUAGCCGCUUCCAAGCCCACCCUUGAGUGCGUCGGGGCAACGAGUGGGUGACUGUUUCUGCCUCUUAGCUUCACCCUCUCAGGCAAGGGACACUGCACUGGGCUGCUUCCUGCGGAAGAGCUUUCACCGCAGGCAUCUUGGGAUCCCGGGGCCGCCCGGCGACGGGACGACGGGGGCCUGGCGUCCUCACAGGCGGGGCUGGCUGGGAGGCCCGGCGGCUCUGCAGGAGAAGACAGCCCGCAGUCCCCGCCCCGCAGGCGCCCUGACCUCCCGCGGCCGUCGCCCCGCGGCCCGGCCUCGCUGCGCCGCCCCCCUCAGCCUCCCGGGCCCCCGCCCUCCCGAGUCCCGCAGGCCGCCUCCCGGGGGCGGCAGGGCCUCCGGCGGAGCGCAGGCCGGCCCCAGGGUCUCCGUGCCGGGCUCAGGCAGCCGGGGCCGCGGUGCGCCCCGCGCCUCCACCGCCCCGCCAGGACCGCGCUGCGUCCGCACGAGCCCGUCGCGCAGAGCGUCCCCGGAGGGACUGAGCGACGAGGUGCAGGAAGCAGCUCGGCGCAGGCGGCCCCCGCCUUCCUCUCCGGCCGGCGACACACGCCCGCAGGGGCCGCAGCCGCGAGCGGAGGCCGCCGCGCUGGCUCUCGCUUCGGGCCCGUCGCUUAGGCGCUCAGCGCCUCGGCUUCCCCGUCUGUGACAGGCGGCCACAGCGCCGCCCGGGGCUGGGAGCUAACUGAGCUGCUCGCCAGGAGGCGCACGCCCCGCGCCGCCGCCGGGGGAGCGGCCGAGACGCCGCGGCUGGGACCCCGCGGUGUCCGCGGUCGCCGGCCAGCGGUCAGCACGCAGUGUCUGUGCAGCCUCUGGGCGAAGCCCCGGCCGUGCAGCCCGGCUGUCCGGGCGCCGCCGUGAGAUGGGGACAGACAGACACAGAAGGAAGACCACGUGAGGACACGCGGAGCAGGCGGCCAUCUGCAACCCAGGAGAUGGGCCUUGGAGAAACCAAACCUGCGCCGCCUGGGUCUCGCACUCCGAGCCUCCAGACGGAGGAAACACGCGUUUCAGCCCGGCAGUCUGAUACUUCAUGAUGGCCGCCCAGCGAAUGACGUCCCUGGCGGCGGGCUCUGCUACGCCUUUUAUUUUGCCUCGCGUCCCGCUCUUGCUCGCGGUUCCCCCAUCUCAAGACCCCACAAGGCGCUGCCCUGGCAUCCUGUGCUCAGGCUCCUCUGGGCAAAGAUUCACUGUAGGGAUGUUCUCUGUGCAACUCCUGCCGGGCCUGUCCAUCUGCAGCUGCUCUCAGGCCACCAGGAAAGUUCUGGGCAGCCUCAGACAGAGCCUAGGCCUGGUUUAGAGUGCAGUUUCCAGAUGCAUGCCACCAUCCACAGCCGCUCCAUCCUAGGGAACUCUGGGCCUGGGAUUGCCAGAUAAAGUACAGAACACCCAGUUAAAUUUGAAUUUCAGAUAAACAACAAAUAAUGUUUCAGUAUAAGUAUAUCCUAAAUAUUGCACAGGCAUCCUUAUACUAAAACAUUAUUUGUUUACCUGAAAUUCAGAUUUUACUGAGCAUCCUGGAUUUUU
rnacentral:lncRNA from 1 species